rnacentral:rRNA from 1 species
AGUGAACGCUGGCGGUAGCCCUAACACAUGCAAGUCGAACGGCAGCACAGUAAGAGCUUGCUCUUACGGGUGGCGAGUGGCGGACGGGUGGGGAAUACAUCGGAAUCUACUUUUUCGUGGGGGAUAACGUAGGGAAACUUACGCUAAUACCGCAUACGACCUACGGGUGAAAGCAGGGGAUCUUCGGACCUUGCGCGAUUGAAUGAGCCGAUGUCGGAUUAGCUAGUUGGCGGGGUAAAGGCCCACCAAGGCGACGAUCCGUAGCUGGUCUGAGAGGAUGAUCAGCCACACGGGAACUGAGACACGAUCCAGACUCCUACGGGAGGCAGCAGUGGGGAAUAUUGGACAAUGGGCGCAAGCCUGAUCCAGCCAUACCGCGUGGGUGAAGAAGGCCUUCGGGUUGUAAAGCCCUUUUGUUGGGAAAGAAAAGCAGCAGGUUAAUACCCCGCUGUUCUGACGGUACCCAAAGAAUAAGCACCGGCAAACUUCGU